UACGUAGGGUGCGAGCGUUGUCCGGAAUUACUGGGCGUAAAGAGCUCGUAGGCGGUUCGUCGCGUCGGCUGUGAAAUCCCGAGGCUCAACCUCGGGUCUGCAGUCGAUACGGGCGGACUGGAGUUCGGCAGGGGAGACUGGAAUUCCUGGUGUAGCGGUGAAAUACGCAGAUAUCAGGAGGAACACCGGUGGCGAAGGCGGGUCUCUGGGCCGAUACUGACGCUGAGGAGCGAAAGCGUGGGGAGCGAACAGG
rnacentral:rRNA from 1 species